rfam:Triticum aestivum genome assembly, contig: Triticum_aestivum_CS42_TGACv1_scaffold_194194_3AL
UUGCUAUUCCUUUCGUCUUAAAAUUCUUGUCUUAAAUUUGUUUAGAUAUGAAUGUAUCUAAUACUAAAACGUAACUAAAUACAUUCGUAUUUUGACAAAUCUAAGACAAAAAUUUUAAGACAAAGGGGGUAUUUU